rnacentral:rRNA from 1 species
UACGUAGGGUGCGAGCGUUGUCCGGAAUUAUUGGGCGUAAAGAGCUCGUAGGCGGUGUGUCACGUCGGCCGUGAAAACCUGCAGCUUAACUGUGGGCGUGCGGUCGAUACGGGCAUCACUGGAGUUCGGCAGGGGAGACUGGAAUUCCUGGUGUAGCGGUGAAAUGCGCAGAUAUCAGGAGGAACACCGGUGGCGAAGGCGGGUCUCUGGGCCGAUACUGACGCUGAGGAGCGAAAGCUAGGGGAGCGAAUGGG